rnacentral:rRNA from 1 species
CAGUCGCCGCGGUAAUACGAAGGUCCCAAGCGUUGUUCGGAAUCACUGGGCGUAAAGGGAGCGUAGGCGGCGUGGUAAGUCAGAUGUGAAAUCCCGGGGCUCAACCCCGGAACUGCAUCCGAUACUGCCAUGCUUGAGGGUUGGAGAGGUAGCUGGAAUUCUCGGUGUAGCAGUGAAAUGCGUGGAUAUCGAGAGGAACACUCGUGGCGAAGGCGAGCUACUGGACAACAACUGACGCUGAGGCUCGAAGGCCAGGGUAGCGAAAGGGAUUAGAUACCCCAGUAGUCCCUGUCUCUUAUAC